GUCCAGGGUAGCCUAGUGGUCAUGGCAUCUGCUGGUAAGCGGAAGGUCGUGGGUUCGAUUCCCAUCCCUUGACA
rnacentral:tRNA from 1 species